UAGGGAAUCUUCGGCAAUGGGGGCAACCCUGACCGAGCAACGCCGCGUGAGUGAAGAAGGUUUUCGGAUCGUAAAGCUCUGUUGUAAGAGAAGAACGUGUGUGAGAGUGGAAAGUUCACACAGUGACGGUAACUUACCAGAAAGGGACGGCUAACUACGUGCCAGCAGCCGCGAUAAUACGUAGGUCCCGAGCGUUGUCCGGAUUUAUUAGGCGUAAAGCGAGCUCAGCCGGUUUAAUAAGUCUGAAGUUAAAGGCAGUGGCUUAACCAUUGUUCGCUUUGGAAACUGUUAAACUUGAGUGCAGAAGGGGAGAGUGGAAUUCCAUGUGUAGCGGUGAAAUGCGUAGAUAUAUGGAGGAACACCGGUGGCGAAAGCGGCUCUCUGGUCUGUAACUGACGCUGAGGCUCGAAAGCGUGGGGAGCAAACAGG
rnacentral:rRNA from 1 species